GGAAUAUUGCACAAUGGGGGCAACCCUGAUCUAGCCAUGCCGCGUGAGUGACGAAGGCCUUAGGGUCGUAAAGCUCUUUCGCCAGGGAAGAUAAUGACUGUACCUGGUAAAGAAACCCCGGCUAACUCCGUGCCAGCAGCCGCGGUCAUACGGAGGGGGUUAGCGUUGUUCGGAAUUACUGGGCGUAAAGCGCGCGUAGGCGGACUAUUAAGUCAGGGGUGAAAUCCCGGGGCUCAACCCCGGAACUGCCUUUGAUACUGGUAGUCUUGAGUUCGAGAGAGGUAAGUGGAAUUCCGAGUGUAGAGGUGAAAUUCGUAGAGAUUCGGAGGAACACCAGUGGCGAAGGCGGCUCACUGGCUCGAUACUGACGCUGAGGUGCGAAAGCGUGGGGAGCA
rnacentral:rRNA from 1 species